rnacentral:rRNA from 1 species
CAUAGGUUAAUGAGGCGAACCGGGGGAACUGAAACAUCUAAGUACCCCGAGGAAAAGAAAUCAACCGAGAUUCCCCCAGUAGCGGCGAGCGAACGGGGAGCAGCCCAGAGCCUGAAUCAGUGUGUGUGUUAGUGGAAGCGUCUGGAAAGGCGCGCGAUACAGGGUGACAGCCCCGUACACAAAAAUGCACAUGCUGUGAGCUCGAUGAGUAGGGCGGGACACGUGGUAUCCUGUCUGAAUAUGGGGGGACCAUCCUCCAAGGCUAAAUACUCCUGACUGACCGAUAGUGAACCAGUACCGUGAGGGAAAGGCGAAAAGAACCCCGGCGAGGGGAGUGAAAAAGAACCUGAAACCGUGUACGUACAAGCAGUGGGAGCACGCUUAGGCGUGUGACUGCGUACCUUUUGUAUAAUGGGUCAGCGACUUAUAUUCUGUAGCAAGGUUAACCGAAUAGGGGAGCCGAAGGGAAACCGAGUCUUAACUGGGCGUUAAGUUGCAGGGUAUAGACCCGAAACCCGGUGAUCUAGCCAUGGGCAGGUUGAAGGUUGGGUAACACUAACUGGAGGACCGAACCGACUAAUGUUGAAAAAUUAGCGGAUGACUUGUGGCUGGGGGUGAAAGGCCAAUCAAACCGGGAGAUAGCUGGUUCUCCCCGAAAGCUAUUUAGGUAGCGCCUCGUGAAUUCAUCUCCGGGGGUAGAGCACUGUUUCGGCAAGGGGGUCAUCCCGACUUACCAACCCGAUGCAAACUGCGAAUACCGGAGAAUGUUAUCACGGGAGACACACGGCGGGUGCUAACGUCCGUCGUGAAGAGGGAAACAACCCAGACCGCCAGCUAAGGUCCCAAAGUCAUGGUUAAGUGGGAAACGAUGUGGGAAGGCCCAGACAGCCAGGAUGUUGGCUUAGAAGCAGCCAUCAUUUAAAGAAAGCGUAAUAGCUCACUGGUCGAGUCGGCCUGCGCGGAAGAUGUAACGGGGCUAAACCAUGCACCGAAGCUGCGGCAGCGACGCUUAUGCGUUGUUGGGUAGGGGAGCGUUCUGUAAGCCUGUGAAGGUGUACUGUGAGGUAUGCUGGAGGUAUCAGAAGUGCGAAUGCUGACAUAAGUAACGAUAAAGCGGGUGAAAAGCCCGCUCGCCGGAAGACCAAGGGUUCCUGUCCAACGUUAAUCGGGGCAGGGUGAGUCGACCCCUAAGGCGAGGCCGAAAGGCGUAGUCGAUGGGAAACAGGUUAAUAUUCCUGUACUUGGUGUUACUGCGAAGGGGGGACGGAGAAGGCUAUGUUGGCCGGGCGACGGUUGUCCCGGUUUAAGCGUGUAGGCUGGUUUUCCAGGCAAAUCCGGAAAAUCAAGGCUGAGGCGUGAUGACGAGGCACUACGGUGCUGAAGCAACAAAUGCCCUGCUUCCAGGAAAAGCCUCUAAGCAUCAGGUAACAUCAAAUCGUACCCCAAACCGACACAGGUGGUCAGGUAGAGAAUACCAAGGCGCUUGAGAGAACUCGGGUGAAGGAACUAGGCAAAAUGGUGCCGUAACUUCGGGAGAAGGCACGCUGAUAUGUAGGUGAAGUCCCUCGCGGAUGGAGCUGAAAUCAGUCGAAGAUACCAGCUGGCUGCAACUGUUUAUUAAAAACACAGCACUGUGCAAACACGAAAGUGGACGUAUACGGUGUGACGCCUGCCCGGUGCCGGAAGGUUAAUUGAUGGGGUUAGCGCAAGCGAAGCUCUUGAUCGAAGCCCCGGUAAACGGCGGCCGUAACUAUAACGGUCCUAAGGUAGCGAAAUUCCUUGUCGGGUAAGUUCCGACCUGCACGAAUGGCGUAAUGAUGGCCAGGCUGUCUCCACCCGAGACUCAGUGAAAUUGAACUCGCUGUGAAGAUGCAGUGUACCCGCGGCAAGACGGAAAGACCCCGUGAACCUUUACUAUAGCUUGACACUGAACAUUGAGCCUUGAUGUGUAGGAUAGGUGGGAGGCUUUGAAGUGUGGACGCCAGUCUGCAUGGAGCCGACCUUGAAAUACCACCCUUUAAUGUUUGAUGUUCUAACGUUGACCCGUAAUCCGGGUUGCGGACAGUGUCUGGUGGGUAGUUUGACUGGGGCGGUCUCCUCCUAAAGAGUAACGGAGGAGCACGAAGGUUGGCUAAUCCUGGUCGGACAUCAGGAGGUUAGUGCAAUGGCAUAAGCCAGCUUGACUGCGAGCGUGACGGCGCGAGCAGGUGCGAAAGCAGGUCAUAGUGAUCCGGUGGUUCUGAAUGGAAGGGCCAUCGCUCAACGGAUAAAAGGUACUCCGGGGAUAACAGGCUGAUACCGCCCAAGAGUUCAUAUCGACGGCGGUGUUUGGCACCUCGAUGUCGGCUCAUCACAUCCUGGGGCUGAAGUAGGUCCCAAGGGUAUGGCUGUUCGCCAUUUAAAGUGGUACGCGAGCUGGGUUUAGAACGUCGUGAGACAGUUCGGUCCCUAUCUGCCGUGGGCGCUGGAGAACUGAGGGGGGCUGCUCCUAGUACGAGAGGACCGGAGUGGACGCAUCACUGGUGUUCGGGUUGUCAUGCCAAUGGCACUGCCCGGUAGCUAAAUGCGGAAGAGAUAAGUGCUGAAAGCAUCUAAGCACGAAACUUGCC